rnacentral:rRNA from 1 species
UUUAUGGAGAGUUUGAUCCUGGCUCAGGAUGAACGCUGGCGGCGUGCCUAAUACAUGCAAGUCGAGCGAACGGACGAGAAGCUUGCUUCUCUGAUGUUAGCGGCGGACGGGUGAGUAACACGUGGAUAACCUACCUAUAAGACUGGGAUAACUUCGGGAAACCGGAGCUAAUACCGGAUAAUAUUUUGAACCGCAUGGUUCAAAAGUGAAAGACGGUCUUGCUGUCACUUAUAGAUGGAUCCGCGCUGCAUUAGCUAGUUGGUAAGGUAACGGCUUACCAAGGCAACGAUGCAUAGCCGACCUGAGAGGGUGAUCGGCCACACUGGAACUGAGACACGGUCCAGACUCCUACGGGAGGCAGCAGUAGGGAAUCUUCCGCAAUGGGCGAAAGCCUGACGGAGCAACGCCGCGUGAGUGAUGAAGGUCUUCGGAUCGUAAAACUCUGUUAUUAGGGAAGAACAUAUGUGUAAGUAACUGUGCACAUCUUGACGGUACCUAAUCAGAAAGCCACGGCUAACUACGUGCCAGCAGCCGCGGUAAUACGUAGGUGGCAAGCGUUAUCCGGAAUUAUUGGGCGUAAAGCGCGCGCAGGUGGUUUCUUAAGUCUGAUGUGAAAGCCCACGGCUCAACCGUGGAGGGUCAUUGGAAACUGGGAGACUUGAGUGCAGAAGAGGAAAGUGGAAUUCCAUGUGUAGCGGUGAAAUGCGUAGAGAUAUGGAGGAACACCAGUGGCGAAGGCGACUUUCUGGUCUGUAACUGACACUGAGGCGCGAAAGCGUGGGGAGCAAACAGGAUUAGAUACCCUGGUAGUCCACGCCGUAAACGAUGAGUGCUAAGUGUUAGAGGGUUUCCGCCCUUUAGUGCUGAAGUUAACGCAUUAAGCACUCCGCCUGGGGAGUACGGCCGCAAGGCUGAAACUCAAAGGAAUUGACGGGGGCCCGCACAAGCGGUGGAGCAUGUGGUUUAAUUCGAAGCAACGCGAAGAACCUUACCAGGUCUUGACAUCCUCUGAAAACCCUAGAGAUAGGGCUUCUUCCUUCGGGGAGCAGAGUGACAGGUGGUGCAUGGUUGUCGUCAGCUCGUGUCGUGAGAUGUUGGGUUAAGUCCCGCAACGAGCGCAACCCUUGAUCUUAGUUGCCAUCAUUAAGUUGGGCACUCUAAGGUGACUGCCGGUGACAAACCGGAGGAAGGUGGGGAUGACGUCAAAUCAUCAUGCCCCUUAUGACCUGGGCUACACACGUGCUACAAUGGACGGUACAAAGAGCUGCAAGACCGCGAGGUGGAGCUAAUCUCAUAAAACCGUUCUCAGUUCGGAUUGUAGGCUGCAACUCGCCUACAUGAAGCUGGAAUCGCUAGUAAUCGUAGAUCAGCAUGCUACGGUGAAUACGUUCCCGGGUCUUGUACACACCGCCCGUCACACCACGAGAGUUUGUAACACCCGAAGCCGGUGGAGUAACCUUUUAGGAGCUAGCCGUCGAAGGUGGGACAAAUGAUUGGGGUGAAGUCGUAACAAGGUAGCCGUAUCGGAAGGUGCGGCUGGAUCACCUCCUUU